rnacentral:misc_RNA from 1 species
AAGAACCCUAGUUCGGUGCGGCAUCUCUUCAUACACUACGCCGUGAUUGGCACAAUUUCUUGUACCGCUCAAAGAUUUUAGAAACUCUUCGAUGGUAUUGUGUUGUAAUUUACCAGAAACUGUGCCUCACUGCGAGUCUACGACCAGCGACAUUGCCUGACUUUCACGAUUUCUAUUGACGGCUUUGCAAUCUAUCAGCAUCUCAGUCUUUUCUUCCAAGUUUCAACUGCACCUCAUCCACGGAGCAUAAUUGCCAAUAAUAAAACCUCCCAAGGUUCAGACUUGCAUAAAUGCAGCAAUCAACACUAUCAUCACACACGUCGGCGGUACAAGGAGCUUCAGCUGCGGAGUCCAAUGAGAUGAGUGGAGAUGCGCCGCCAAAGCAGGUGGCAAUGGCACUGGAGCGACUGGGGCAGGCGAGUCGACUCAUAGCUGAUAUUAGAAUUGGCGCAGAUCGGCUGUUGGAAGCCCUAUUUGUGUCAGCUCAGCGGCAACACUCUUCUAAACCUUUGCAUCUUAUCCACAAAGAAGAAGCUUCCAUGAGACAACACCUUCAAGAGCUUCGCUCUGUUGGAAGACAGUUAGAAGAUUCUGGUGUCCUCAAUGAUUCCCUCCGAUCACGAAGUAAUUCAUGGGGCCUCCACAUGCCUUUGGUUUGUCCUGAUGGUGCUGUUGUUGCAUAUGCAUGGAAGAGACAACUUGCUGGUCAGGCUGGUGCAUCUGCAGUUGAUAGGACCAGGUUAGCUCUCAAGGCCUUCAAUGGUCAGAAAAGACGAUUUUUCCCCCACCUUGAUACCAAUUAUGGUGGGGAGGGUGUGACAAAGAAACUUCGUGGUCCUCCAUCAAGUGAUCAAGAAGAAACUUGUGAACUGAAAUCAGUGUCUGAAGUUUUGACACAUCUGAAAAAGGAGGUCUCAAAUGUAAUAACAUUCUCUUACCGGCGUUUGGAUUGGUUGUUGCGAGCUACCUCAUUGCCCUCUUCGACCAGUGAAAAUUCUAUUGAAUUAUCAAAAGAGAGUACUUUCCAAAGCACGAGAACAUUAAGACAAGGAUCAUCUGAUGAUGAUGUUUCAGACAAGGUUGCUAUAAUCGAAUUGUUGAUUCCUUCUGUUUUUAGAGCCAUAGCAUCAGUUUCCCCUGCUGGUUCCUUGGAUCCCGACGCUGUAGCAUUCUUCUCGCCAAACGAGGGUGGUAGCUACAUUCAUGCGAGGGGAUUCUCCGUUCAUCAUGUAUUUAGGCACAUCACGGAGCAUGCUGCUAUGGCUUUACAGCAUUUUACAGGUGUUGGUACUGAGUCACCCUUGCUUUCUUUGCUGCUGUGGGUUUGCAGCUAUCAGACUUUGUUCUCGAAAGCUUGCAGCAAGUGUAGCCGUCUACUAUCAAUGGACAAAGAGUCUGCCAUGCUACUGCCCCCUGUUAAUCGCCCUUACCGAAACUUUUCUGCUGGAAAAUUCUUGUCAAAAGAGGAGCCAAGUGUGGAUUCUAGUCAGUGUUUUCACAUCGACUGCUUUUCUGAGGAAGCAUAGAAAAAUCAGCUCCAUUGUACAAAGAAAUUCCGAACCUAUAAUGUAGUAUGUGGCCUGAGAGUGGUUGGUUAACGAAGUUUCUUUGGAUUGUAUUUGUUACACCAAACUUUAGAUUAGUUACGUUUAACUUUCUUUUUGAGGUCUUUAAAAUCCUACUAAAU